rnacentral:rRNA from 1 species
GAGUUUGAUCAUGGCUCAGAUUGAACGCUAGCGGGAUGCCUUUACACAUGCAAGUCGAACGGCAGCGCGAGAGAGCUUGCUCUCUUGGCGGCGAGUGGCGGACGGGUGAGUAAUAUAUCGGAACGUGCCCAGUAGCGGGGGGAUAACUACUCGAAAGAGUGGCUAAUACCGCAUACGCCCUACGGGGAAAGGGGGGAGUCGCAAGACCUCUCACUAUUGGAGCGGCCGAUAUCGGAUUAGCUAGUUGGUGGGGUAAAGGCGUCACCAAGGCAACGAUCCGUAGCUGGUUUGAGAGGACGACCAGCCACACUGGGACUGAGACACGGCCCAGACUCCUACGGGAGGCAGCAGUGGGAAUUUGGACAAUGGGGAAACCCUGAUCCAGCCAUCCCGCGUGUAUGAUGAAGGCCUUCGGUUGUAAGUAC